AUGUUCAAGCUGGUUUUAGAAAAGGCAGAGGAACCAGAGAUCAAAUUCCCAACAUCCAUUGGAUCAUGGAAAAAGCAAGAGAGUUCCAGAAAAACAUCUAUUUCUGCUUUAUUGACUAUGCCAGUUAGAACUGGACAUGGAACAACACACUGGUUCCAAAUAGGAAAAGGAGUAUGUCAAGGCUGUAUAUUGUCACCCUGCUUAUUUAACUUCUAUGCAGAGUACAUCAUGAGAAACGCUGGGCUGGAAGAAGCACAAGCUGGAAUCAAGAUUGCCAGGAGAAAUAUCAAUAACCUCAGAUAUGCAGAUGACACCACCCUCAUGGCAGAAAGUGAAGAGGAACUAAAAAGCCUCUUGAUGAAAGUGAAAGAGGAGAGUGAAAAAGUUGGUUUAAAGCUCAACAUUCAGAAAACGAAGAUCAUGGCAUCUGGUCCCAUCACUUCAUGGGAAAUAGAUGGGGAAACAGUGUCAGAUUUUAUUUUGGGGGGCUCCAAAAUCACUGCAGAUGGUGAUUGUAGCCGUGAAAUUAAAAGAUGCUUACUUCUCGGAGGGAAAGUUAUGACCAACCUAGACAGAAUAUUCAAAAGUAGAGACAUUACUUUGCCAACAAAGGUCCAUCUAGUCAAGGCUAUGGUUUUUCCAGUGGUCAUGAGUGGAUGUGAGAGUUGGACUGUGAAGAAAGCUGAGCACCGAAGAAUUGAUGCUUUUGAACUGUGGUGUUGGAGAAGACUCUUGAGAGUCCCUUGGACUGCCAGGAGAGUCAACCAAUCCAUUCUGAGGGAGAUCAUUCCUGGGUGUUCAUUGGAAGGACUGAUGCUAAAGCUGAAACUCCAAUACUUUGGCCACCUCGUGCAAAGAGUUGACUCAUUGGAGAAGACCCUGAUGCUGGGAGGGAUUGGGGGCAGGAGGAGAAGGAGACGACAGAGGAUGAGAUGGCUGGAUGGCAUUACCAACUCGACAGACAUGAGUUUGCGUGAACUCUGGGAGUUGGUGAUGGGCAGGGAGGCCUGGCGUGCUGCGAUUCAUGGGGUCGCAAAGAGUCGGACACGACUGAGCGACUGA
rnacentral:lncRNA from 1 species